CGAACCUCGAUAUUACCCUUCCAACAUGCUCAAAUAAAAUUUGUUCGUACUCAUUAAUGAUCCCAACGAUCUCUUCUAAUCAAGCAUACCACUCUGGUUACAUGACACAUCAAUAGAGGCCUAAGCCACAACUACCAUAAUACGCACACCAACAAGCAACGGUCCGAACAUACUUACAUCAUGAAAUGACUCAAAUGAAAGAGAUGUAACUUAAGUUCACCGGUACCACCAAAACAAGGGUGAGAACCGGACUCACAUCAUAGAAUAGAACACAUGGACCUAUCUCGCAAGAUCAUAUCUCCACAUAUCUUCGUGAAAAUGCACGAUCCAAUCCUAACACUGCUCCACAUGAAACACCUCAAGGCACUAUGCUCGAAGGCGAAACUACGCACCAUUUGAUGUCUGGAACCAAAGCAAAUCAUUACACCCACGGCGAAACAAGUAACAUAUACCACGCAAACCCGAUAGGACAUAACUGAUACGCCAUUUACCAAGACAUACCCAAUUACUCUUCCCGUUCAACUAAGAACCCCAAUAAGAUCGCAUUAUAUGUGCCCAAAACCAACAAAUCAUAACGUCUCGCAACACGAAAAUGCCACUCAUAGAUCUCCCCAGAUCACUAACAAGCUCGGUAAACCUAUCCCUUAACAAUACAGUUCGGGGCCAACCAAACCAACUAAAGCUAGAACACUCAUCCACAUUGGCCUAACGACUAACGCCUUACCAAGGAAGCCUGAAGCUUCUCCUUCCACCUCUAUAACUCAUGCCGGAGCCAUACAAUAUGGUGCCCGACACCAAAUCAAUACCAAAAUCCACAACCUCUCCCAUAGAGAUGCCCAGCGACAAGAAACGCAUCCGAAAGUCCCUUAAUGCCGGAAUUGAACCAAUAGUAGAAACCUAUGUAUUGGCAUCCAUCACGAAGUCCCAAUUAAGAAAACUAGUCCUUCUCAGCCAUCUGUUGGGUCUUUAAAAUAUAAACCACUCUGCUAGAGCGUAAUCCGAAGCACUUCGCCACUCAACCCAUGGCAUUUACAGCAUAGCCCAUACCGUAAUAGUCCAGAAUAGUCCAACACUGAGAUGGCCAGUCUAAAUCCCCAACAUCACAUCCAAAAUCUAACAUACCAAGUCACAAACCCAAUUUCAAUAAUAGUAAAUGGACCCAAGCCAUAUUUUCAUGGAAAACUUCGCUAAUCAACAUGAUUAAUAAUAAAAUUACAACUUUAAACGAGCAUAUUCACGAUGCUAAAUUUAUCUGAGACUCAACAUAACACUGAUGCUACAACCAUUUUUACACAAUAAUCGUACUCCCAGCGAAUCCAUAACAGUCAACAUAAUUCCCAAAUAAGAAAUGUGCAUUUACUAGCAUGAAAUCCCACAAUACAAUUUUGCUUUGGACCCAAAAACAAAUCCAGUUCACAAAGUCAACUGGGCAGAAAAUAGACGGGCAGAAGAAUACACUAGACCCUUGGACCAAGUAUUCUCAAUUUAGUCCACAACUUAAAAAAAUAGCAGUUGAACAAAAACUAAUACAACGAGUCUGACUAAACUAAGAAAAAAAUAAAAAAUGGCAAUUAAACCCUACUAAACUAGAAUUAACACAUGCAAAUGAUUUUCAAGAAAACAGACGGAUAGAAGAAAAGAAGAUAACAAUGGAAGAAGAAAACCGACAAAAAUAACAACAGAAAAAGAAAAACACCUAAAGAAAUGCCUCGGAAAGAAAAAAUGGAGGCGAAUCCUCAAACCCUUCAAAUCUUUGGCUCAAUCUGAGAUUAAUCAUGUGUUUUUCAUUAAAACACAUGAAUAAAUUCAAAGGGAACCCAAUAUCUUCACAGAAAUCUUGGCUUAGCAAAUUUGGGAUUUUAGGGUUAGGCUUUGAUCUAAGAUUCGAGGAGUUUGGGCAAGAUUCGAGGGAAACUGGUCUCUGAUUUAAGAAGAGGGGGUCAUGGGGCUUAUGGUGAACGGAGGUGGCACCGCUGGCAGAUGGUGGUGGGAAAAGGAGCGGCGGGUUAGGAUUCUAACUCAGACUCCGAGACACAUGGGAAGUGAAGGAGGCGAGAUGGGGGUAAUGAGAUUCAGACAGUAAUAUACCCACCCCACCCCAGUUCAGGACCAUUUGAUCAGAUAAACCUUGACAACUCAUAUCAGAAAAUGACCAAACGAUGUCGUUUGGUUUAGUGGGAAAUCACCGAGCC
rnacentral:lncRNA from 1 species